rnacentral:rRNA from 1 species
CCUACGGGAGGCAGCAGUGAGGAAUAUUGGUCAAUGGGCGCGAGCCUGAACCAGCCAAGUCGCGUGAGGGAAGACGGUCCUAUGGAUUGUAAACCUCUUUUGUCGGGGAGCAAAAGACGCCACGCGUGGCGUUCCGAGAGUACCCGAAGAAAAAGCAUCGGCUAACUCCGUGCCAGCAGCCGCGGUAAUACGGAGGAUGCGAGCGUUGUCCGGAUUUAUUGGGUUUAAAGGGUGCGCAGGCGGAAGAUCAAGUCAGCGGUAAAAGUGAGAGGCUCAACCUCUUCGAGCCGUUGAAACUGGUUUUCUUGAGUGAGUGAGAAGUAUGCGGAAUGCGUGGUGUAGCGGUGAAAUGCAUAGAUAUCACGCAGAACUCCGAUUGCGAAGGCAGCAUACCGGCGCUCAACUGACGCUCAUGCACGAAAGUGUGGGUAUCGAACAGGAUUAGAUACCCGGGUAGUC